rnacentral:lncRNA from 1 species
AUAUUUUAUCCACCAAUCAUCAGUGUUAGAAAUGUAUUUUUAAAAGUUAGAAGGGUAUUCAUGAAAUUACUCCUUUAUUAUUUGUUAUCGAAAGAACAACCCAACCAAUUUUUUUAAGGGGUAAAUUAGUCAUUUUAUAACUUCACCCUAACGUCAGUUAGAAAAAAGGGUAAUUGUGAUAAUUUUCUACAUUUAAAGGGAUACAUAUGAUAUUUUUACUUUUAUAGGGGUAGUUACGAUACUAAUAUGUUUAAGAGGACUAGUGAUGAAAUUGCCCCUUCUUUUUAUUAUCUAGAUCACAUUCCUGAUUAAUUUUUAAAAAAAAAUUAUUUACCAUUAAUACAA